AGGCGAAAAGAGCGACGCCGGCUCUCGUUGUGCCCGAGAGCCGGCUACUUUCGGCGGCCCAUAAUCUCUUUGCGCAGGUGGUCGAUCACAGCCGUGUGCAUGCGCCGGGCGAGGAUCGAGGCGGCGCGGCACGCCAGAGGCGCACACAAUACUCCCGCGCAGCCCAAGCCAUAGCCGCCUCCCAAUCCCAAUAUCGCGCCCAUUGUCAUGAUGUCGUCGACGUCGCUGGUUUCUCUGAAUGCGCCAGGCACGGCGCGCCACACUGCAUAGAGGCCCGCUCCCGGCACGCCCAACAGGACGAUCGGCACCGACACCUUGUAGGGCACGCGACGCGCCAUUCAAGAGCCCAGGUAGACCACUGCGCCGCCCGUACAAAGACCUCCCGCCAGGCCCGCGGCGCCCGAGAGGCAUGCGACAAAUGCCAUUCCUAUACCUGCCAUGCCUUCCGGUGUUUUUUUGGCGUGUUGUCUGGCGAUGGUUGUCCCGUCGAGGAUGGUGUGUUUUGUGUAAAGAGGGCCGUCUGUACCUCGGUCGCCUGUCGCGUCCAAGCAAAAGACCGCGCGAAUCUUUUUGAUUGGCGAGCGAC
rnacentral:lncRNA from 1 species